CGGAUUAGAUACCCUGGUAGUCCUUGCCUUAAACUAUGUAUACUUGGUGUUGUUAGGCUCAACCCUGACAGUACCGUAGCGAACGCGUUAAGUAUACCGCCUGGGGAGUACGCUCGCAAGGGUAAAACUCAAAAGAAUUGACGGGGACCCGCACAAGCAGUGGAGCAUGUGGUUUAAUUCGAUGCAACGCGAAGAACCUUACCUGGACUUGACAUGCUUUUGACCGCUGCAGAAAUGCAGUUUUCUCGCAAGAGACAGAAGCACAGGUGCUGCAUGGCUGUCGUCAGCUCGUGCCGUGAGGUGUUGGGUUAAGUCCCGCAACGAGCGCAACCCUUGUCGUUAGUUGCCAACACGUAAUGGUGGGCACUCUAGCGAGACUGCCUAGGUUAACUAGGAGGAAGGUGAGGAUGACGUCAAGUCCGCAUGGCCUUUAUGUCCAGGGCUACACACGUGCUACAAUGGUCGGUACAAUGGGAAGCCAAGUCGUGAGAUGGAGCAAAUCCUUUAAAGCCGGCCCCAGUUCAGAUUGGAGUCUGCAACUCGACUCCAUGAAGAUGGAAUUGCUAGUAAUGGCGGGUCAGCAACACCGCCGUGAAUCCGUUCCCGGGUCUUGUACACACCGCCCGUCAAGUCAUGGGAGUUGGUUUCACCCGAAGUCGCUCACCCAACCGCAAGGAGGGAGGCGCCUAAGGUGAGGCUGAUGACUGGGACUAAGUCGUAACAAG
rnacentral:rRNA from 1 species